UGCCCAGCAACUCCUAUCCCUACCUCCUCGUGGUACUGGCCGGGGUACGAGUAACCUUGGGGAAGAUCGGGUAACCAACCCCCGGUGGGAAGUUUGGUCGUAUGCUGACAGGGAAGG
rfam:Aedes aegypti strain Liverpool supercont1.804 genomic scaffold, whole genome shotgun sequence.